rnacentral:rRNA from 1 species
GACGAGUGGCGGACGGGUGCGUAACGCGUAGGAAUCUGCCUAUUAGUGGGGGACAACAUGGUGAAAACCAUGCUAAUACCGCAUACGCCCUACGGGGGAAAGCGGGGGAUCUUCGGACCUCGCGCUAAUAGAUGAGCCCGCGUUGGAUUAGCUAGUUGGUGGGGUAAUGGCCUACCAAGGCGACGAUCCAUAGCUGGUCUGAGAGGACGAUCAGCCACACUGGGACUGAGACACGGCCCAGACUCC